GGCAGAACCACUCCUCGGGCGGCCACCCUCGCAGUCAGCUGGGUUGGGAGCAUGUGCGGCUCCCAUGUUUGGUGGCCUGGUCUCCAAAGCACAGGCCCAUGGGGCCAGACAGAAGGGAGGAGGCAGAAAGGGCUGGCACAAAAGGGCUGUGGGUCCAGGAAGCCCACGUCCGACCAGU